rnacentral:rRNA from 1 species
UACGUAGGGCGCAAGCGUUGUCCGGAAUUAUUGGGCGUAAAGAGCUCGUAGGCGGUCUGUCGCGUCUGCCGUGAAAACCCGAGGCUUAACCUCGGGCUGGCGGUGGAUACGGGCAGACUAGAGGUAGGUAGGGGAGAAUGGAAUUCCUGGUGUAGCGGUGAAAUGCGCAGAUAUCAGGAAGAACACCUAUGGCGAAAGCAGCUCUCUGGGACGGUACUGACGCUGAGACGCGAAAGCGUGGGGAGCGAACAGG